GGGUAUGUAGCUCAGCGGUAGAGCUUUAGGGUUUAACCUAAUGGUCGCAGGUUCGAGUCCUGCUAUGCCCA
rnacentral:tRNA from 1 species